GUGGGGAAUCUUCCGCAAUGGACGAAAGUCUGACGGAGCGACGCCGCGUGAGUGAAGAAGGCCUUCGGGUCGUAAAGCUCUGUCAUCAGGGACGAACGGCCGGUGGAGUGGAAAGCCACCGGAUUGACGGUACCUGAGAAGGAAGCCACGGCUAACUACGUGCCAGCAGCCGCGGUAAUACGUAGGUGGCAAGCGUUGUCCGGAAUUAUUGGGCGUAAAGCGCGCGCAGGUGGGAUCUUAAGUCCAUUUUGAAAGUUCGGAGCUCAACUCCGUGAUGGGAUGGAAACUGGGAUUCUUGAGGACCGGUGAGGAAAGCGGAAUUCCCCGUGUAGCGGUGAAAUGCGUAGAUAUCGGGAGGAACACCAGUGGCGAAGGCGGGUUCCUGGCCCAUUACUGACGCUGAGGUGCGAAAGCCAGGGGAGCGAACGGGAUUAGAAACCCUUGUAGUCC
rnacentral:rRNA from 1 species